UCGCGAAUUUUUCACAAUGGGCGCAAGCCUGAUGAAGCCACGCCGUGUGCAGGAUGAAGGCCCUCUGGGUUGUAAACUGCUGUCAGGGAAGGGGAAACGCUGGGUGUUAACAGCAUCUGGUUUGACUGCUUUCCAAAGGAAGCCCCGGCAAAACAUGUGCCAGCAGCCGCGGUAAUACAUGUGGGGCAAGCGUUGUUCGGAAUUACUGGGCAUAAAGGGUGCGUAGGCGGCGGCAUAAGUCAGCGGUGAAAUCCUUCGGCCCAACCGGAGAACUGCCGUUGAUACUGUACUGCUUGAGUGCGUGAGGGGUGGCUGGAACGAGUGGUGUAGCGGUGAAAUGCGUAGAUAUCACUCGGAACACCCAAGGCGAAGGCAGGCCACUGGCACGCAACUGACGCUG
rnacentral:rRNA from 1 species